GGUCAGAUCAGUGUUUUCAUGAGGCUUCAGCGUGCUAACCGAACAGUUUGCGGCUUGGUAUUGACACAGAAGCAUUAAAAUUAACGUCCGUCAGACAUUCAGCAGGUUACUGCCGGAGUUUAUCUUCAUAACAAGCGGAAGUUUGCAUCUCAAGAGACAGUGAGGAUGACUCCGCCCGUUGAUGCUAAUGCUAACGUGGAUCAGAAGGUUCUGCAGUAUGAAAACUUCAUCAACGAAGUUCUGAAGAGAGAUUUACAGAAGGUGUUGGAGCACAGAGACUCAGUUUAUGAGAAGAUCUCUCAGUACCUGCAGCUGAAGAACACCAUCCAGAGUCUGCAGGAGUUGGGCUGUCAGCGGCUGAAGACUGAAGUUGAUCUUGGCUGUAACUUCUUCGUCCAGGCUGAAGUUGAGGACUCGUCCAGGAUCUUUGUGGCAGUCGGUUACGGUUUCUUUGUGGAGAUGAACCACGACGAAGCUCUGCGAUUCAUCGACAAGAAGACGAGUCAGCUCACAGCGUCAGUUCACCAUCACAGGAUAUUAAAACACAGCAGCCGAAGCCAUUCUUCUUCUUCUGAGGUUUUAUAUCUCCAGGAACCAUUCACCUCCAGCAGAGAAUCAACCUCAGCUCUGACUUUAUCUGCAGUGGAAGAUAAAAUACAGUUUGUUUCAGUCGAGCCAGAGAUAGAGUCACCACCUACAGGGGGUGGAGUGGGUGUAGAGCAGGUGGUGGUCAGAGUGUCGGUGGCUCCUCCAGUGGGAAGACCAGGAAAGUGCUGUAUAAACGCUGUCCAUGCACAGUUUGAAAUGAAAACCUGACUUUGGGGAAACAUCUGUAGAGUUUCAGUUAUACAUUAGCUCAAUGCUCGUUGUGUCCAUUGUUAUGAGUGAGAGAUGCUAACUAUGCUAACAUUAUGUGUUUCAGCUUCACAGAGCAGCUCACCAAAGACUCGGCUAAGAUUAAAGCCAACAUCCGCAUGGUGCUGGAGGGUCUGCGGGAGCUGCAGGGACUGACAGACCUGCCGGAGAGCACAGGAAGAGAGGUUUUCUAGACUGGUCCGCAUUGUAGACGACCAGAGGACGGUUCAGGAGGGACAUUUAAAUACUCAGCCUCUUCACAACAGCGAGCUUCAACAUGGACGUUUAAUAAAACCUGACUGUCGAUGUUCUGCAGGAAGAGAAUAAAGCUCCGUUCAGAAGAUGAACAUCACAGGAGGAGGAGAAUGAAACCUCCUCUGAGCUCCUCAGUGAUUUCACUCAUCGUUCAGGACUCAGUUUAACCCUGGUGGAACUGUAGGGUCUGCUGUGUAACGCACAGACUCAAGGGGAGGCAAAACUCCUCCUCAGAGUCAGAACACACACGGAACACAUGUUGAUCUCAUUCAGUGUGACUUCACUUCCUGAGGAGAUCUUUAUCUCCGAGGAUCCAGAAUAAACUCCAGAAAUCCACUGAGAAACCAGAGAAGAAGACUCUGCAGAACCUCCUGAGAAUCUUCAUGUUUUAAAAUGUCUUCAGCAUCACAGUGAUCCAGUGAUAGCUGUCUGUAGAUCCAUGAGGACACAGCUAACAGGAGCGGCUAACAGCUAAUUCAGCAGACUUGUAAAGGAGAUAAAGCCAAAAGGCUCAAAAACAGGCUGUAAACAGAUGAGCCCCAUCCUGUUGCUGCCAUGGCAACAGGCUCUUGUUCUCCUGAUGGAUUUAAUGGUGUCUGUCAUCAUACUGGUUCAUAAUAGGCCCUUAUGUUUCCAUUUUCGUGUUAGCACCUAUCGGAGUGCAGAAACAUUUUCACCCAGAGGUCAAAAGUCACACUGAGCUGAUAAAAUGCAGUAAAAUAUAAAAACUCAAUGAUCCACUUUAAAAUAGAAAGAUGAGGUUUAAAUGAGAGGAGCAGCAGCCAGGUCACAGACUGACAGGAGCUCACCGUGUCUGCAGUCAUUACUGAGGGGAAAAUGACCCACAGACAUGUUACCACUGACAGCAGCAGCUGUGAACAUCACCUCUACAGACUGCGUAUCUGUGCCCGUGACAUGUUUAGCCUAGCUUAGCACAAAGACUGGGAGUGGGGGGAAACUGUUAGCGCAACUGACCACAAAUAUAAGUGUCUGACUUCUGUGUUGUUUUUUGUUUAUUAAAGACAAAAAUGUCAGACUGCAACUUGACUGACAGGAAGUUUCUGCUACCCUUCAAAAUAACAUCCCGUUAUUGUGAUUGAUGUUUCUCAUUAAUGUAAAUCUUGCUUUGUUGAAUUUGAAUUCUUCCUGUCUGUGUGGAUGUUUUGUCUAAUUAAAAAAAUACACCAUAUGGUCUAAAAUAUGUGGACAGCCCAGUGUUCCUUGGUUUGGUCCAAACUCCUCAUUGAUACUGGGUUAUUGUUGAAGCAGUAUGGUCGUGAAUGCUGCUUGUUUGUUGAAGAAACUCUGUUUUCACAGUGACGUCAUGCAGCAGGUUGAACAUGUGGUGAAAGACUGGAAGCAGCAGAGUGGAGGCUGUUGGAGCUGAACAUGGUGCCUCUAUCACAUGCUCAGCCGUCCACUGACUUUUGGCCAUGGUUGUUGUUUUGUCCCAGAUGUGAUUAUCAGUUUUUAGCAGCCGCUGAACAGAUGUGAUGUGAUGCAUUUCAUAACAGUCGUAAUAAAAACUGGAGCGUUCGGCGUCAGCUCGGCUGCUCUCGACGACACUGAGCCUGUUGCCAUGGAAACUGAUGCUAAAUAGAGGCAGUGGUGUAAAGAAGCUGAGAGAUGACUCCCACACUCACACACACACUCC